rnacentral:sRNA from 1 species
UUUUAAAAAAUUAACAUCAAAUUUCUAGUUAAAGCCAUCAAAUUUUGUAAUCUAUCAACCAUGUAUAUGGUAAGUGCAUAGUAUAUCGGUUUAAAAAGUACAUAAAUAAAAAAUUUUACGUCAUUACAAUAUAACUAACAUUAAAACCUGGAAAUUAACUUGUGGAAAGCACUAAAAUUUCACGUCAUCCUGUAAAGUACAAAAUAAAUAGUUUUUAAGGAGAAUAUAUAUAAUGACUGAGAUCAAGGCUGUCUCAAUAAGAUAUGAUGGUUAAAGAAAAUAUAAUUUUUUGGCCUAUUAAAAGAAAGUUGAAAAAACUGCAAAGAAUUGUACUGUUGGAGACCCAAAAUCGUAAUACUUUAUGAAGAAAAAUAAGAAUUAACCAUUCUACCACUAGAGUUUUUAGUAAAUUGAUGCUCCUAGUUUUUAAUACUAAUUUGAUGCCUAAAGCCCUUACUUCACGGACUUUAACUCCUGGUCGGGCCAGACUGAGAUCAAAUGAAGAGGACUAAAGGAAGAAGAACAUAAAUGAAUAGAGAAAAAAUGAGAAGAAAGCUGAAAUCUCAUGAACUUGUGGAAAGAUUCUUUUUAGACCACUUUAAUUCAAUUUAUUUACCUAUUAAGAAUAUCAUUUUUUCAUAUCACCUACUUUACUUUGGCUCCGACUAGAGAAAGUGGAUUUAGCAGUCUAAGCGGAUCAAGUAGAUAAAGUGAGGAUCAAGCGGUUUUGGUGGAAAGAGUGCGGAUCAAGCGGUUAUGGCAGGUCUAAAAUGUGUGUGAAUGGUGAAAGAGGAUAAAAAAAACGCAUAUCAAUAUGAGGUGAAUGCAUUUCACGAAAUACCAUUGUCCUUCAGCAAAAACUCUAUGGAUGUUAAUAUCAUAAAUGUAAGAAGCUAUGCAUCAAUCACUAUUUCCUAAAAAAUUACAUAAACAACAUUAGUUUCAUCUCUUAUAGUCUUCAUAUAUUAGAUUCAACAAAGAUAAGAAGUUUCAUCUUACCAUUUCAUCGCAUAGAAUCAUGUAGUAUCUUCUUAUUCUUUCAUGAGAGAGUGAACGUCAAAGAACUUCCACUUUUUUGUUUUUGGAGAAAUUUGAGAGAUUUAUGAGAUUUCUUUGUACAAACUUCCUCUAUCGUCUUUUGCCAUGUUUAUGCUUUUCUCCAAUUAAUAGUGUAGAAGAGAGCUGUACAAGGUUGAAGAUAGUAAUGUAUAUAAAGUAAAUAUUGGAUACAUAUGUGAAAGUGUAUAUUUUUGAUUAUUUAGUGUAUAUUUGUUUUACAUCUAAAUUAAAAAUUGAAACACGAUUUCUAAGAUAUGCAAAUCUUGUCAAGAUUUGUUUUGGAUUCUCAAUAAAAAUGUAUAAAGCUUUAUAUGGUUACUUUCAAAAAGAAUUAGUAAAAACUA